CUGGGACUGAGACCCGGCCCAGAUUCCUACGGGAGGCAGCAGUAGGGAAUCUUCCGCAAUGGACGAAAGUCUGACGGAGCAACGCCGCGUGAUGAUGAAGGUUUUCGGAUCGUAAAGCUCUGUUGUUAGGGAAGAACAAGUACCGUUCGAAUAGGGCGGUACCUUGACGGUACCUAACCAGAAAGCCACGGCUAACUACGUGCCAGCAGCCGCGGUAAUACGUAGGUGGCAAGCGUUGUCCGGAAUUAUUGGGCGUAAAGGGCUCGCAGGCGGUUUCUUAAGUCUGAUGUGAAAGCCCCCGGCUCAACCGGGGAGGGUCAUUGGAAACUGGGGAACUUGAGUGCAGAAGAGGAGAGUGGAAUUCCACGUGUAGCGGUGAAAUGCGUAGAGAUGUGGAGGAACACCAGUGGCGAAGGCGACUCUCUGGUCUGUAACUGACGCUGAGGAGCGAAAGCGUGGGGAGCGAACAGGAUUAGAUACCCUGGUAGUCCACGCCGUAAACGAUGAGUGCUAAGUGUUAGGGGGUUUCCGCCCCUUAGUGCUGCAGCUAACGCAUUAAGCACUCCGCCUGGGGAGUACGGUCGCAAGACUGAAACUCAAAGGAAUUGACGGGGGCCCGCACAAGCGGUGGAGCAUGUGGUUUAAUUCGAAGCAACGCGAAGAACCUUACCAGGUCUUGACAUCCUCUGACAAUCCUAGAGAUAGGACGUCCCCUUCGGGGGCAGAGUGACAGGUGGUGCAUGGUUGUCGUCAGCUCGUGUCGUGAGAUGUUGGGUUAAGUCCCGCAACGAGCGCAACCCUUGAUCUUAGUUGCCAGCAUUCAGUUGGGCACUCUAAGUGACUGCCGGUGACAACCGGAGGAAGGUGGGGAUGACGUCAAUCAUCUGCCCCUUAUGACUGGGCUACCGUGCUCAUGGAAAACAAGGGCAAAACCGAGGUUAACCCAUCCCCAAAUUUAUCGAUCCUGCACACGGCUGAACUGGAACCCUAAAAUC
rnacentral:rRNA from 1 species